rnacentral:rRNA from 1 species
CCUACGGGAGGCAGCAGUAGGGAAUCUUGCACAAUGGGCGAAAGCCUGAUGGAGCAACGCCGCGUGCAGGAUGAAGGCCUUCGGGUUGUAAACUGCUUUUAUAAGCGAGAAAUAUGAUGGUAACUUAUGAAUAAGGAUCGGCUAACUACGUGCCAGCAGCCGCGGUCAUACGUAGGAUCCGAGCAUUAUCCGGAGUGACUGGGUGUAAAGAGUUGCGUAGGUGGCAUAAUAAGUAGCUAGUGAAAUCUGGUGGCUCAACCAUUCAGACUAUUAGCUAAACUGUUAAGCUCGAGACCGUUAGGGGUAACUGGAAUUUCUAGUGUAGGGGUGAAAUCCGUAGAUAUUAGGAGGAACACCAAUCGCGUAGGCAGGUUGCUGGGACGGUUCUGACACUAAGGCACGAAAGCGUAGGGAGCAAACGGGAUUAGAUACCCCAGUAGUC